AGAAGAAGAAGAUCUUCACGACACAGCCUCUAAUUUUACGGCCGUAUUUUGGUCAGCCGUAAAUCGUAACGCGUGGAGUCGGAGGAAGGUUAAAUUAAAUCCUACAAAACAAGCAAUCAUGCCGUUUGUGGACCUUCAGUCACGGCUUGGUAUUAACCUGGACAGCUGGCUGCUGCUGCAGAGCGGACACCAGCCCAAUAAGAGGGCGGCGCGCUGCCACGCCUUUGAGAAGGAGUGGAUUGAAUGUGCCCACGACAUCGGGCAGACCCGCGCCAAGAAGGAGUGCCAGCUGGAGUUUGAGGACUUUUACGAGUGCAUGCACAGGCAGAAGACGAGGAGAGACAGACAGAUGCACUGCCCGCUCACUGUGAAUGUGCUGCAGCAGCAGGAACUUCCUCGCCUCGACCCAGACGCCUUGAUUUGCUCUCUAGCCACGUCUCGUUCCUUCGGAUCAUGAUGGAGAUGAAGUGCUGAUUUAAGAGGAAUGUCAGCUAAGACAACUUCAGAGUCUGACAUGAAUCUCACAUCUGUUGUUUGUUGAACAGCUAAAUGUAGCUUUUUAACAUCAGAGUUGCAGAGAACCAUAUCUGAUAAGACUGGCUGCAUCUCUGCUGGAUUCUUUCAUUUUGAGCAACCGAAUAUUAUUUGGACGUUAACAGCACAGAACUGAGCACCAGAGGCUGCAAGCGAUCCGUCAGCAGCGUGACAAGAUGAUGAAGGAGGGCACCUACACACCGCCACCCUGCCACUCAGGCAAGGC